rnacentral:rRNA from 1 species
CCCCGUACACAAAAGCGCAUGUGCUGUGAGCUCGAUGAGUAGGGCGGGACACGUGAUAUCCUGUCUGAAUAUGGGGGGACCAUCCUCCAAGGCUAAAUACUCCUGACUGACCGAUAGUGAACCAGUACCGUGAGGGAAAGGCGAAAAGAACCCCGGCGAGGGGAGUGAAAAAGAACCUGAAACCGUGUACGUACAAGCAGUGGGAGCACCCUUUGGGGUGUGACUGCGUACCUUUUGUAUAAUGGGUCAGCGACUUAUAUUCUGUAGCAAGGUUAACCGAAUAGGGGAGCCGGAGGGAAACCGAGUCUUAACCGGGCGUUAAGUUGCAGGGUAUAGACCCGAAACCCGGUGAUCUAGCCAUGGGCAGGUUGAAGGUUGGGUAACACUAACUGGAGGACCGAACCGACUAAUGUUGAAAAAUUAGCGGAUGACCUGUGGCUGGGGGUGAAAGGCCAAUCAAACCGGGAGAUAGCUGGUUCUCCCCGAAAGCUAUUUAGGUAGCGCCUCGUGAAUUCAUCUCCGGGGGUAGAGCACUGUUUCGGCUAGGGGGCCAUCCCGGCUUACCAACCCGAUGCAAACUGCGAAUACCGGAGAAUGUUAUCACGGGAGACACACGGCGGGUGCUAACGUCCGUCGUGAAGAGGGAAACAACCCAGACCGCCAGCUAAGGUCCCAAAGUCAUGGUUAAGUGGGAAACGAUGUGGGAAGGCCCAGACAGCCAGGAUGUUGGCUUAGAAGCAGCCAUCAUUUAAAGAAAGCGUAAUAGCUCACUGGUCGAGUCGGCCUGCGCGGAAGAUGUAACGGGGCUAAACCAUGCACCGAAGCUGCGGCAGCGA